UACAGAGGGUGCAAGCGUUAAUCGGAAUUACUGGGCGUAAAGCGUGCGUAGACGGUUAUGUAAGUCGGGUGUGAAAGCCCCGGGCUCAACCUGGGAAUUGCAUUCGAGACUGUGUAGCUAGGGUGCGGAAGAGGGAAGCGGAAUUUCCGGUGUAGCGGUGAAAUGCGUAGAUAUCGGGAAGGAACACCAGUGGCGAAAGCGGCUUCCUGGUCCAGCACCGACGUCAGGCACGAAAGCGUGGGGAGCAAACAGG
rnacentral:rRNA from 1 species